rnacentral:rRNA from 1 species
GGUUAAGUGACUAAGCGUACACGGUGGAUGCCUAGGCAGUCAGAGGCGAUGAAGGGCGUGCUAAUCUGCGAAAAGCGUCGGUAAGGUGAUAUGAACCGUUAUAACCGGCGAUACCCGAAUGGGGAAACCCAGUGUGUUUCGACACACUAUCAUGUCAUGAAUACAUAGUGGCAUGAGGCGAACCGGGGGAACUGAAACAUCUAAGUACCCCGAGGAAAAGAAAUCAACCGAGAUUCCCCCAGUAGCGGCGAGCGAACGGGGAGGAGCCCAGAACCUGAAUCGGCUUGUGUGUUAGUGGAAGCGUCUGGAAAGUCGCGCAGCAAAGGGUGAUAGCCCCGUACACUAAAAUGCACAGGUCGUGAGUUCGAUGAGUAGGGCGGGACACGUGACAUCCUGUCUGAAUAUGGGGGGACCAUCCUCCAAGGCUAAAUACUCCUGACUGACCGAUAGUGAACCAGUACCGUGAGGGAAAGGCGAAAAGAACCCCGGCGAGGGGAGUGAAAUAGAACCUGAAACCGUGUACGUACAAGCAGUGGGAGCACCUUCGUGGUGUGACUGCGUACCUUUUGUAUAAUGGGUCAGCGACUUAUAUUUUGUAGCAAGGUUAACCGUAUAGGGGAGCCGUAGGGAAACCGAGUCUUAACUGGGCGAAUAGUUGCAAGGUAUAGACCCGAAACCCGGUGAUCUAGCCAUGGGCAGGUUGAAGGUUGGGUAACACUAACUGGAGGACCGAACCGACUAAUGUUGAAAAAUUAGCGGAUGACUUGUGGCUGGGGGUGAAAGGCCAAUCAAACCGGGAGAUAGCUGGUUCUCCCCGAAAGCUAUUUAGGUAGCGCCUCGUGAACUCAUCUUCGGGGGUAGAGCACUGUUUCGGCUAGGGGGCCAUCCCGGCUUACCAAACCGAUGCAAACUCCGAAUACCGAAGAAUGUUAUCACGGGAGACACACGGCGGGUGCUAACGUCCGUCGUGAAGAGGGAAACAACCCAGACCGCCAGCUAAGGUCCCAAAGUCAUGGUUAAGUGGGAAACGAUGUGGGAAGGCAUAGACAGCCAGGAUGUUGGCUUAGAAGCAGCCAUCAUUUAAAGAAAGCGUAA